CUCGAGACCUUUCAGGAUCUGUCCUUGCCGAUUCCUGGCAAGGAAGACCUGGCUAAGCUGCACUCCUCCAGUCACCCAACUAUAGUCAAAGCAGGGUCGUGUGGCGAAGCCUACGCUCCACAGGGGUGGAUAGCUUUCUUCAUGGAGUACGUGAAGAGGUUUGUUGUCUCAUGUGUCCCUAGCUGGUUUUGGGGUCCAGUAGUAACCUUGCAAGAUUGUCUUGCUGCCUUCUUCGCCAGAGAUGAACUUAAAGGUGAUAAUAUGUACAGUUGUGAAAAAUGCAAAAAGUUGAGGAAUGGAGUAAAGUUUUGUAAAGUACAAAAGUUUCCUGAGAUUUUGUGUAUCCACCUUAAAAGAUUUCGACAUGAACUGAUGUUUUCCACCAAAAUUAGCACCCAUGUUUCCUUCCCC
rnacentral:lncRNA from 1 species